CAGCACCACUUCUAUAGAUUCAGUCGCCCAGCUCCGCGCGGCCUCAGGGGAAGACCGAGCUCAACCCACGCCCCGGGGCCCACAUGCUCCAGGGCCAAUUUCCGCUCUUCGAGGCCUCCGGGGAUGAGCCCAUUGGCCACAAGACCUGUCGUUCACAAGAGCAAGCUAUCUAAUUGGCCCAUCUGCAAGAGAGGCUCGUCCUUUCCAGCAGGUUCCCUGUGCAGGGGCGGUUCGUGCGGAAGGAGCGCUGGGAGUUAUGUGAACCUCAGCGUUAAAAUGUGUUAGGGUUUGGAGAUCCUGACUCCCUUUCUGGGGGCAACUCCUAUAAACAGAUUUAGCCUAAGACUCGCGUGUUGAAAUUGACUUGCCCCAUUCCUGCCAGUUAAGAGGAUUAGCGAUACAGGUGGUGAAAAAGAAACGAUGACACCCCUAAGACCUGAGCCCCUUCUGGGCCCCACACUCCACCUGUAGAACUCUGAUGGGGCCUUGUGCGGCCGAACCACAAUCCAAGAGAGGUGUUCACAUCAUGUGUCGCUAGCCACAGCCAUCUCAAGGGGAAAUGCCCCAAAUGUAGAAGUAUCUGACACCAGGACUGGGGGUUGGAGCACUGGAUGAACAGCGUGUGUGCCACUCUUUCACUGUGCACCGUCCUAAGAAAGAAGCCUGUUUCCCUUUGAAGAGCCUAGUGCUGACUGCCCAAUUCAAUCGGACCACGCAGGGCAGUCUGAGGAUUAAAAGAUGCUACCUUUAAUUCCUUCGGCUAAUUCAGAACAUUUUUUGAACAUGGCAGCAGCUACUAUGAAUUGUCUAUCCAACUGCCACUCCAGC
rnacentral:lncRNA from 1 species